GCCGGAGUGGCGGAAUGGCAGACGCAGGGGACUCAAAAUCCCCCGCCCUUUACGGGUGUGAGGGUUCGACUCCCUCCUCCGGCACCA
rnacentral:tRNA from 1 species